rnacentral:rRNA from 1 species
GAUGAACGCUGGCGGCGUGCCUAAUACAUGCAAGUCGAGCGAACAGACGAGGAGCUUGCUCCUUUGAUGUUAGCGGCGGACGGGUGAGUAACACGUAGGUAACCUACCUAUAAGACUGGGAUAACUUCGGGAAACCGGAGCUAAUACCGGAUAAUAUUUCGAACCGCAUGGUUCGAUAGUGAAAGAUGGCUUUGCUAUCACUUAUAGAUGGACCUGCGCCGUAUUAGCUAGUUGGUAAGGUAACGGCUUACCAAGGCAACGAUACGUAGCCGACCUGAGAGGGUGGUCGGCCACACUGGAACUGAGACACGGUCCAGACUCCUACGGGAGGCAGCAGUAGGGAAUCGUCCGCAAUGGGCGAAAGCCUGACGGAGCAACGCCGCGUGAGUGAUGAAGGUCUUCGGAUCGUAAAACUCUGUUAUUAGGGAAGAACAAACGUGUAAGUAACUGUGCACGUCUUGACGGUACCUAAUCAGAAAGCCACGGCUAACUACGUG